UUUAUGUCCCAAGCUAAUGUUUUACAUGCAAAAGUGAUAGUAUAAAAAAACAUUUAUCUAAAGUAGAGACGGUAAAAUGUAGCUACGGUUGAGGUAGAGUUGUCGCGCAGAAAUGUGGGAUAUUUCCACCUUUACGUUUAGUCAAAAUUAGAUUGUUUUUAAAAUAGAACCUGAUAAGGCUGUAUAUGGAGACCGGGAUUUGUACCCCAGUAUCAAAGCUGUUAAACGGUGUGUGGGUACUACGAGCAAACGCGCUUAAAAUCCAAAGAGGUUGGCGGUGUUCCAAAUCCGGUUAGGGGAACUUGGCGAUUAAAUCGAUGAUCCUCGAAUAUUUUACCCUUAAUUUUCUUUGCAUACCGCCGUUGAGACAAGCUUUAGGGGGUUAAAGAACUUUAACGCAAAAUAUAAAAAUAGUAACGUUAGCAGUGUGUCUGCUAGGUUAAGUUUCUAUAAAAAUUCAGGUAAACGUGUAGGUUUUAAGGGGUUUAGCUGAGUUACAUUAUUUAUAAUAUGCGGAUGUACUUAUUUAUAUUUUACUGAAGGCGUACUUGUUAGUAAAAUUUUUUAUAAAGGAAAUUUGAAUAGAGUUAUGGGACGCGUACAAAUCGCCCGGCGUUCUUGAAUACUGAAAUUAAGGU
rnacentral:rRNA from 1 species